rnacentral:sRNA from 1 species
UAGCUUCGUUAAUAAUGAACCUAACAGU